rnacentral:tRNA from 1 species
GCCUUCAUAGUUUAGUAGUCAGGACGCUCGACGCGUAACCGAGAGGUGCGUGGUUCGAUUCCAGGCGAAGGCU